GAUGAAGCCUUUCGGGGUGGAUUAGUGGCGAACGGGUGAGUAACACGUGGGCAAUCUGCCCUUCACUCUGGGACAAGCCCUGGAAACGGGGUCUAAUACCGGAUAACACUCUGUCCCGCAUGGGACGGGGUUAAAAGCUCCGGCGGUGAAGGAUGAGCCCGCGGCCUAUCAGCUUGUUGGUGGGGUAAUGGCCUACCAAGGCGACGACGGGUAGCCGGCCUGAGAGGGCGACCGGCCACACUGGGACUGAGACACGGCCCAGACUCCUACGGGAGGCAGCAGUGGGGAAUAUUGCACAAUGGGCGAAAGCCUGAUGCAGCGACGCCGCGUGAGGGAUGACGGCCUUCGGGUUGUAAACCUCUUUCAGCAGGGAAGAAGCGAAAGUGACGGUACCUGCAGAAGAAGCGCCGGCUAACUACGUGCCAGCAGCCGCGGUAAUACGUAGGGCGCAAGCGUUGUCCGGAAUUAUUGGGCGUAAAGAGCUCGUAGGCGGCUUGUCACGUCGGAUGUGAAAGCCCGGGGCUUAACCCCGGGUCUGCAUUCGAUACGGGCUAGCUAGAGUGUGGUAGGGGAGAUCGGAAUUCCUGGUGUAGCGGUGAAAUGCGCAGAUAUCAGGAGGAACACCGGUGGCGAAGGCGGAUCUCUGGGCCAUUACUGACGCUGAGGAGCGAAAGCGUGGGGAGCGAACAGGAUUAGAUACCCUGGUAGUCCACGCCGUAAACGUUGGGAACUAGGUGUUGGCGACAUUCCACGUCGUCGGUGCCGCAGCUAACGCAUUAAGUUCCCCGCCUGGGGAGUACG
rnacentral:rRNA from 1 species